rnacentral:rRNA from 1 species
UACGUAGGGUCCGAGCGUUGUCCGGAAUUAUUGGGCGUAAAGGGCUCGUAGGCGGUCCGUCACGUCGGGAGUGAAAACUCGGAGCUCAACUCCGAGCCUGCUUCCGAUACGGGUGGACUAGAGGUAGGUAGGGGAGAACGGAAUUCCUGGUGUAGCGGUGAAAUGCGCAGAUAUCAGGAGGAACACCGGUGGCGAAGGCGGUUCUCUGGGCCUUACCUGACGCUGAGGAGCGAAAGCAUGGGGAGCAAACAGG